UUUCAUCUGAGUGGAGUCAUUUUCAGAUGGGUGUUUUGAUGAGAAAUCUCAGUCUGGAAGCAAGAUGCCAUUCCACAAAGAUGCAGUUCUCAUCUGUGAGGUUUGGCCUGGCUGAAUCAUGGUUUUCUUUCCCUCAAACAGUACCAAGUUUGAGUAGGUGAAAUCUCCCUCUGAUGGACACCUCCUACCCAGUGCAAAAGCCCAGGUCACGUCACCUCCAGCUGUGGAAGAAACGGAGCUGCUCCAGAAGCUUUACCAUCUCCUGGAAGCCAAGGGGUUUCAGACAAGGAUGGAAGGAGUGGAACUCCUCCUAGACCUGUGCAAAACCAGCCCCCAGCUCAUCUUCGCUAACAUUGCCCAAAUUUUUGAUUAUUUUGUCCUGAGAAUAUCUGACAGCCACAAGAAAGUGAAGCAGAGGGCGCUGGAUGUGCUGGCUGAAAUCACAGGAG